CCCAUUUAGCUCCGCAGUCCACACACACCUAACCCUAAUUCCCCAUUCUCUCCUCCCGUCCCCUCAGCCGCCACCACUCCACCAAUCUUCCUCCGCCCGCUCCACGCCGGCUCCGCCGCAGAACAGGCCUUACCUGUGCCGACCAAUCGAUGCCCUCUCUUCUCCCCUCUAUAUGCGCGCCCCUCCCCAUCUUUCCCACCGCCGCAGCCACCAGCCCGUAGCCCCCACCCUGAUUCUAGAUCACGCCCUCGAGAUGCGGCGACAGUGGUGGCGGCGGGUCCGACUGCUGCAGUUGGACGAUGGUGGACGCCGUCCACAACCUCCCGGCGCAGAUCAGUCCGCCUUCCUGGUUCGCAGUCGAGCAGCGCACGUGCCGCGAUGAUCCCCAUGAUGCGCUGGCCAUCUAAACCAGAUCGUCGCCGACGAGAAGUCUCUAAUGUCCUGUGUGGCGGCCACGGGUCCAUCUUCAGUCGGCGGCGAGCUAUGGUGAGGUACACAUGGCACUGAUAGAUGCAGUGUACAGGGGCGCCGCCGCUGCCAUGGAGCUGGCCACCAGCUUCUGCCUGCCGUGAUGGGCGCUGCCUCCGCUGCUUUGCCAGGGCCCUCCUGCCCUUCGUUUAUGUGCUGCCCCUCGUCAUCAUCUCCGUGGGUGGGCUCUUGCACUGCAAUGCCCCUGAACCCCAUUCUCCACCCAUCCGACAGUGUGCUAGAUGUCGUCCUCCUCGACGCGGCCGUCCUCGACGAGCUCUCUUGGUCGUAGAAGGCGGAGCAGCAAAGCAUCCUAUCCUCCAGCGCGUGGACUGACGGCUGCAUCCUCCUGCUCUCCUAGCGUGGUAUUGAAUUACACAGAAUUUGCUGGAGGGCAACUUUUCCCAUAAAACUUAAAGAAUGAGUUGUGAGGUGGUACUAAGGGGCUUUAGGUACGGAGAUUGUUGGCAGCGGCACACGCGAUGGUGCUCACUUGUGCGAUUUGGCAAGGAAGAAGAACAUGGUGAUUGGCUGCGCUGGUGCUUCCAGACUUGCCUGACAUGGAAUCCUUCAGUUGAGGAAGAUUGAUUCUUGCAGAUGUGUGGGAAGAACUUGUGGAGAGGCUCACCUCACUCUUCACAAAAGGCCAAUACAUGCUUGUUGUACUCCUGGAUGAAUUUGUAUCUCUAUAUAUAUGUUUGUAAAUGUUUCUUGUGUGGCUUUAGUGAUGCCUUCUAGGAUCCUUGUUGUAAUGGACAGAAUAUUUUGUUAGAAAGGAUAAUGGAUGAAACAACUGGGAAUUUGUGAACUGGGCCAAAUUAUGUGCCUGGGACAUCAAGAUAA